rnacentral:rRNA from 1 species
CAGCAGCCACGGUAAUACGUAGGGUGCGAGCGUUAAUCGGAAUUACUGGGCGUAAAGCGUGCGCAGGCGGUUGUGUAAGACAGGUGUGAAAUCCCCGGGCUUAACCUGGGAACUGCGCUUGUGACUGCACAGCUAGAGUGCGGCAGAGGGGGAUGGAAUUCCGCGUGUAGCAGUGAAAUGCGUAGAUAUGCGGAGGAACACCGAUGGCGAAGGCAAUCCCCUGGGCCUGCACUGACGCUCAUGCACGAAAGCGUGGGGAGCAAACAGGAUUAGAUACCCGCGUAGUCCCUGUCUCUUAUAC